rnacentral:rRNA from 1 species
GGGCCACGGGUCAUUUGCUCAGUACGGCGAGUGAGCGGCAAAAGCUCAAAUUUGAAAUCUAGCACUUUCAGUGUUCGAGUUGUAAUUUGAAGAAGGUAACUUUGGUUUUGGCUCUUGUCUAUGUUCCUUGGAACAGGACGUCACAGAGGGUGAGAAUCCCGUGCGAUGAGAUGCCCAAUUCCAUGUAAAGUGCUUUCGAAGAGUCGAGUUGUUUGGGAAUGCAGCUCUAAGUGGGUGGUAAAUUCCAUCUAAAGCUAAAUAUUGGCGAGAGACCGAUAGCGAACAAGUACAGUGAUGGAAAGAUGAAAAGAACUUUGAAAAGAGAGUGAAAAAGUACGUGAAAUUGUUGAAAGGGAAGGGCUUGAGAUCAGACUUGGUAUUUUGCGUUCCCUUCCUUUUUGGUUGGGUUCCUCGCAAGUUUACUGGGCCAGCAUCGGUUUGGAUGGUAGGAUAAUGACAUUGGAAUGUAGCUUUACUUCGGUGAAGUGUUAUAGACUUUGGUUGAUACUGCCUUAUCUAAGACCGAGGGACUGCCCGUCUUUGACUAAGGAUGCGUGGCGUAAUGAAUCUUAAGCCGCCCGUCUAAACAAAGGGGGACCAAAAAAAAAAAAAAAAAAUUAAAAAAAAAAAAAAAAAAAAAAAAAAAAAAAAAAAAAAAAAAAAAAAAAAAAAAAAAAAAAAAAAAA